rnacentral:lncRNA from 1 species
GUCGCUGCCUACGCCAACAUCGGCAAGGUUGGGAGCACCUGCUACCGUGGUGUGCGCCUCCGGAAGUGGGGCAAGUGGGCGGCGGAGAUCCGCAACCCCUUCACCGGCCAUAGGGAGUGGCUUGGCACCUUUGACACUGCUGAUGCGGCCUCCGCCGCCUACCAGUCUGCCUCCCGCAACUUCGCCGAAGAGAAGCGCCGCCGUGGUGUGGCCUCCUCUGCCUCACCUGCUAGUUCGGCGACCCCUACUCCGACUGCGUCCUCGUCGUCCUCGACUUCUGCCGCGCCAUUCGCCCACCCUUCGCCGUCGUCUGUGCUCGAAGCCACCAAGCCAGCUCCAAAGCCAGAGUCGCCGCCGCUGCCGGAGCAAGCUGCAACUCCCCUCCUGGUGGAGGCUACCAACGAGACCGCCGAGCUGCCGGAUGACCCAGAGUUCUACAAGGAUAUACUGCGCGGUCUACAGCUGCCGGACAUUGACCCGAUGGAUUUCCGAGCUGGGCUG